AUGAACGCUGGCGGCGUGGAUAAGGCAUGCAAGUCGAACGGUUUUUCCUUUCAAGAAAGUUGCGAUUACAUCAAGACCGACGAGAUUGGAAAAAUAGUGGCGAACGAGUUAGUAACACCUUGGUACGUACCCUUUGGUUUGGUAUAGCUCGCCGAAAGGCGGGGUAAUCCCAGAUAGUCUCGCAAGAGUAAAGCAGCAAUGCGCCAUUGGAGCGGCCUAGGCUCGAUCAGCUAGUUGGUGUGGUAAAGGCUCACCAAGGCUAUGACCGAUAGGGGCGCUGAGAGGCGGACCCCCAACGACGGCACUGAGACACGGGCCGUACACCUACGGGUGGCAGCAGCCGAGAAUAUUCGUCAAUGGGCGAAAGCCUGAACGAGCGACGCCGCGUGCAGGAAGAAGGUCUUCGGAUCGUAAACUGCUUUUCUACGGGAAGAAUUUUGACGGUACCGUAGGAAUAAGGAGCUGCAAACUACGU
rnacentral:rRNA from 1 species